rnacentral:rRNA from 1 species
UGGGGAAUUUUCCGCAAUGGGCGAAAGCCUGACGGAGCAAUGCCGCGUGGAGGUGGAAGGCCUACGGAUCGUCAACUUCUUUCUCGGAGAAGAAACAAUGACGGUAUCUGAGGAAUAAGCAUCGGCUAACUCUGUGCCAG